UACGAAGGUGGCAAGCGUUGUUCGGAUUUACUGGGCGUAAAGCGCGCGUAGGCGGCUUUGCAAGUCGGGUGUGAAAUCCCCAGGCUUAACCUGGGAACUGCAUUCGAGACUGCAUUGCUAGAGUAUGGGAGAGGGAAGUGGAAUUUCCGGUGUAGCGGUGAAAUGCGUAGAUAUCGGAAGGAACAUCAGUGGCGAAAGCGACUUCCUGGACCAAUACUGACGCUCAUGUGCGAAAGCGUGGGGAGCAAACAGG
rnacentral:rRNA from 1 species